rnacentral:rRNA from 1 species
UACGUAGGCAGCAAGCGUUGUUCGGAAUUACUGGGCGUAAAGCGAGUGUAGGUGGUGCUAUAAGUUUGGUGUGAAAUCUCCCGGCUCAACUGGGAGGGUGCGCCGAAGACUGUAGUGCUAGAGUAUGGGAGAGGUAGGCGGAAUUCCUGGUGUAGCGGUGAAAUGCGUAGAUAUCAGGAGGAACACCUGCGGUGUAGACGGCUUACUGGACCAUGACUGACACUGAAACUCGAAAGUGUGGGGAGCAAACAGG